CAUGAUGAAUGAAAUAAUAAUAUAUCUAAGUAUCUCUUGGUAGUAGAUACUGUACAUGCGGAAUCAUGAACCAAUGCGUAAACUGGCCCAACUUUUAAAAGAGUUUGACACCUACCGGCUGGAUAUCCUAGGAAUCUGCGAGACCAUAAUAUACGCAGGACACAAUUAGGAACACGCUUGUCGUGUAGGAAUUGCCAUGUCCAAAAUAGCAGCCUCGGCGCUAGUUGCUGGAAGCCAGUCAGCGACCGCAUUAUUACAGCUCGACUCCAAGAAAACCCAUACAAGGAACGGUGGAUACAAGACAGAACAUGGAAAUUGAUCGAUGAGAGGAAAAAUGACAAACGCAGACGAGACCGGAAAAAUGCAACACAGGAUCGAAGCUUAGCGGAAAAAGCCUAUAGGGAAGCAGAUCUGAUAGUAAAGAGAAGUUGUCGGCGAGAUAAACGGGACUGGAUUAAACAGAAGAGCUAAGAGUCAUAAGCAGGUCAUACAGAAAUGACACAAAGACUCUCCAUCACAUCGUCCGAGAUCUCACUGAAGCAAAGAGUGGACACAGAGCACCAAUAAAAGACAACCAAGGCUAAACUUUGCUAACGAAAGAAGAACAGGAUGCAAGAUGGGUAGAGCACUUUAAAGAGACCCUCAACCAACCGACACUAGAUCUGACAUACACUUUCAAGGACCCCUCUCCGGACAAUGAUCUCAAUGUCAAGACAGAUUCAAUUACAACAGAGGAGGUUACAAUGGCCUUUGCAGUGCUAAAGAACAACAAAGCACCAGAGCUAAACAUGGUGUCAGCAGAAAUGCUAAAAUACUGGAAACAGUGCAUUGUUGACAGAAUGACUGAUCUCUUAAAUCUAUGUUGGCAAACUUCUAAAGUCCCUGAGGACUGACAAAAAUGAGUGAUUGUAAAGCUUCCUAAAAGAGCAACUUGGCAGAUUGCAACAAUUCCAUCGAGAAUCACUAUUGAAAAUAGUUAGAGAAUAUGGCAUCCCAUAUUUUUUCUUGUACAUUUUCCGAAACACAAAAAUUUAAUCUCGAAACCAAAACAUCAACAGCCGCCUCUGAGUUUGUGGUGAUAAAUAUAAAUAGUAAAAGCA
rnacentral:sRNA from 1 species